AAAUAAAUAAAAAUAAAUGUUAAUAAAAAUAAAUAUAAUUCACCUGGCAAAACCGGAGAAGAUGAAGAUGAGAGAGAGCUGGAACUCUUGGUGGGGAGGAGUAGGUAGCGCAGGUAGGGAGAAGACUUCCUCCGGCAUCACAAAACCGGAGAGGGUUAAAGGAGAGAAAGACAGUAAGAGACACAGACGCUAGAUCAAGAGAGAAAGGAAGAGGAAUGAGGCGACAACGGUGAUGGUGGCCAUCGCCGCUGUUGGUUCCGCAGUCCUCCGUAUAAUGGCUUCGUAGUCCUUCCUUCGCGGGCGGCAGCAGGUUCUGCGAAUGCGAUGACCCAGUUCCUUACGACGGUGUACUUCAGUGAUCUGGACGUGCUCCUAUGGAGUUUUGAUUCUGAUGAACAUAGCAGUGCUUCCAUAGCAAUGCUAAGGAAAUUGGCUUCAUUAAGGGUCUCCUCCCACGUUUCCAUCAAAGCAGAGAUGAAGAAAACAUGACGGUGAAGAGGGGAAGCACGAGAGAAGAAAGAAACAUCCUUAUUUCAGUAAUUGAUUGGACUUCAUGCUUUCAUGCCUGAGCCAGCUCAAGAGGAGAUCUUCUCCCUUUGGGAACAAGUUGUUGUUGCCUGUAUGAAGUUUAAUUCUGCAAACUAAGAUCAAGGAGAAGCUAGUGGAAGGUGAAAACAAGAUCAAGUGCAAAAUGAGGACUUUAAUUGUAAGUUCUGGAGAAAACUUAUGCUGGGGAGGCUUACCCUUUAGAAGCAGUGCAAGGGAGUUAUUUUGAUCAUACUUUCGAGGCUUUUUCUUAUUGGAAAAAGGAGAAGUUAAUGGAUCCAUGAAGAAAGUGGGUGAACAUUUUUUUGAAUCAGCCAAAAUUAAACCCUAAGAAUGGAAGAAAUUCUGCAACAACAGGGUAUUACUUUGGCUUACUAUUUCCUAUGCUUCCAUAUAUACUAUGUGAUGAUAUAAAUUAUGUAUAGAACAAUUCUAUCAUUUCUAUGUCUUACAUUAUCAAGUAUGAGGAAAUUGAAAAUUCUGCAUUACUCGAGUGACUAUUACUGAAAACCCUUGAGGAUUCUGUGAUCUUGUUCUUUAUUUAAAAAGCAAUUAGCAUGUAUGUUUAGUCACUUAAUUUUUUCCAGCAAUUCAGCUGUAGGUAACUUGAGAAAUCAACAUAGAGUCAUAGACUUCUACAACUUAUCUUUAGUUUCUUAUGUUCCAACUUAUGAUUAAGGUAUCAUUGUUUAGACAAUACUUAGCAACAGAUGAUUAGAAGGCACUAAUCCUAUCUAAAGAAGACCAUAAUGUCAUCUGUAAAGGUAAUAAUUUUAAUGUAAUUAUGAUAUGAGUUGUGAAUGUUGUUGUUCCAUUUUAUCAGUGAAAUUUUUUGUAAAUUGUUAUAGUUACUUCCAUUGCAUUCCAUUCCAUUUUCUCAUCAAAUACUUCAUCCUUACAUUUAUUGAUAUGCUAUUCAUUUCGAAUUGGAUGAUGAUGCCAAUGGGUCAUGUAACAAUUCAUCUUAGUUCUCUUUUCCUUUAAUGUAUUUUAUUUAUUUAUUUAUUUUGCAUUAUGUGUUUAUCAUUGAGUAGAGGAAGAUGGUCAGUAUUUAUUACGUGCUUUCUGUAUAAAGCAUAUGGUUUUCUCUUUGUUUUUAAUUUUCUUUCUUAGCACGUAUAUAUGUUUUUUUAUUUUUUAUUUUUUAUUUCUAACAAGUUCUUUAUGUUUGCUGUCAUAAUAUUUUAAUCUGGCAGUCAUUCUUAAAAUUCCAUUCAUUCUUAUGAUUGGGAGUACCACAAUGAGCAGCACUGAAGCAUUAAAAGCAGGAUUAUGUGAAAAGGCAUUAAUAGUAACUCAUUAUUAUCUUGAUUUGCGAUGGCCAGCAUUAGCACUUUAAUUAAGCUUCGAUGCUUCUAUAGGCAGCCAUCACUAUGUGGAAACUUAGUGUAUAGUGUGCAUAAUUUAAUUAUAAGAUUUUCUUCCUAAAAUUUAUGCAGUUACAUUUGGUUUAGACAAUUCUUAGGCCUGUUAUAGAACUUCAACGAAACUACUUGGAUUAUUAUGCUGAAAAUAGAGAAGAGAAAAUGCUUAUUCCACAGGCUGUUAUUUCUUUCCUCAGGAAUAUCCGCAGGAUCAUGUGUUUUCUCUAUAGGGAAUGGAGUAUGUGCUGCAUGGAGUCAUUGCUUUGGGGAUAAUGGCUGCUGGUGGUGUGCUCUCAGGAGGGAAUCCAGCAUCACAUGUUUUACAGAUUAAGAAGCAAGGUGAUUCUGCUGAUGCCAAAUUAGUUGUCACACUUUAAAUUAUGACAAGAUGAUUGUUUUAAGUAUAAUUAUGUAAUUCCUUUUUUUGUUAAACAAAAUUUUGGCAAUUGUCUAAAGCAUGAUUUUUUUUAA